rnacentral:rRNA from 1 species
GAUGAACGCUGGCGGCGUGCCUAAUACAUGCAAGUCGAACGCUGGAAAUCUAGCUUGCUAGAUUGAAGGAGUGGCGAACGGGUGAGUAAUACAUAAGCAACCUACCCACGAAGACUGGGAUAAUCUCUGGAAACGGGGACUAAUACCGGAUAGGUAAUCGGAAGGCAUCUUCUGAUUAUUAAAGGUUAAAAACACUGGUGGAUGGGCUUAUGGCGCAUUAGUUAGUUGGUGAGGUAACGGCCCACCAAGACGAUGAUGCGUAGCCGGCCUGAGAGGGUGAACGGCCACAUUGGGACUGAGACACGGCCCAGAAUCCUACGGGAGGCAGCAGUAGGGAAUUUUCGGCAAUGGGGGAAACCCUGACCGAGCAACGCCGCGUGAGUGAGGACGGCCUUCGGGUUGUAAAGCUCUGUUGUAAGGGAAGAACGGUAGAUAGAGAAUAUCUAAAUGACGGUACCUUACCAGAAAGCCACGGCUAACUACGUG